rnacentral:lncRNA from 1 species
CCCUGAGGGUUCUUGCAGCAGCCCAACAUGGUUGCCAUGGAUUGGGUUUUCUAGGUGUCCCCGAGGGGAAAGACGGCGGCACCAUCCUGUCCGGAGUCACCAGGCUGUUGCUGAGGUAGCCG